rnacentral:rRNA from 1 species
UACGUAGGGGGCUAGCGUUGUCCGGAAUCAUUGGGCGUAAAGAGCGUGUAGGCGGCUCGGUAAGUCCGCUGUGAAAGUCCAGGGCUCAACCCUGGGAUGCGGGUGGAUACUGCCGGGCUCGAGUCCGGAAGAGGCGAGUGGAAUUCCCGGUGUAGCGGUGAAAUGCGCAGAUAUCGGGAGGAACACCAAUGGCGAAGGCAGCUCGCUGGGACGUGACUGACGCUGAGACGCGAAAGCGUGGGGAGCAAACAGG